rnacentral:misc_RNA from 1 species
AGUGAAAAAUGGAAGUCCAUAAGCAAUUAUCAUUUGACUAAGUCGUUAGCCAGAAUUUUAGCUGGGGAAAUAACUCCAUCUGGUUAAGUGAUGGCCAUUUGAAUUGAAAGGCAUUUGUUGUGUCAAUAAUACAUAUACGGCAUUGUAGCUUGGGAUUAGUAUUUAAAUCCACUAACAUCAAGGGGGGCAAAUAUCAUUUGAUGAAGGAACAAUGGUAG